AGAGUUUGAUCCUGGCUUAGGAUGAACGCUGGCGGCGUGCUUCAUACAUGCAAGUCGAACGAGAAAUGAUAGCUUGCUAUCAUGGAAAGUGGCGGACGGGUGAGUAAUACAUAGGGAAUCUGCCCUUAGCCGGGGGACAACAGUUGGAAACGACUGCUAAUACCGCAUAUGAGUAUAGUUGAGAUAUUAUACUUGAAAACUCCGGUGGCUAAGGAUGAGCCUGUGCCUGAUUAGUUAGUUGGCGGGGUAAAGGCCCACCAAGGCGACGAUCAGUAGCUGGUUUGAGAGGAUGAUCAGCCACAAUGGGACUGAGACACGGCCCAUACUCCUACGGGAGGCAGCAGUAGGGAAUUUUGCGCAAUGGGCGAAAGCCUGACGCAAGCAACGCCGCGUGAUUGAUGAAGCCCUUAGGGGUGUAAAGAUCUGUCAGUAGGGACGAAAGAUGACGGUACCUACAGAGGAAGCACCGGCUAACUCCGUGCCAGCAGCGGC
rnacentral:rRNA from 1 species